rnacentral:rRNA from 1 species
UGAUUAUGACGUACUUGUACUGAUUGAGAUUUUAACACGAAGUGAGUGGCGAACGGGUGAGUAACACGUGGGUAACCUGCCCAGAAGUAGGGGAUAACACCUGGAAACAGAUGCUAAUACCGUAUAACAGAGAAAACCGCAGGGUUUUCUUUUAAAAGAUGGCUCUGCUAUCACUUCUGGAUGGACCCGCGGCGUAUUAGCUAGUUGGUGAGGUAAAGGCUCACCAAGGCAGUGAUACGUAGCCGACCUGAGAGGGUAAUCGGCCACAUUGGGACUGAGACACGGCCCAAACUCCUACGGGAGGCAGCAGUAGGGAAUCUUCCACAAUGGACGCAAGUCUGAUGGAGCAACGCCGCGUGAGUGAAGAAGGGUUUCGGCUCGUAAAGCUCUGUUGUUAAAGAAGAACGUGGGUAAGAGUAACUGUUUACCCAGUGACGGUAUUUAACCAGAAAGCCACGGCUAACUACGUGCCAGCAGCCGCGGUAAUACGUAGGUGGCAAGCGUUAUCCGGAUUUAUUGGGCGUAAAGCGAGCGCAGGCGGUCUUUUAGUCUAAUGUGAAAGCCUUCGGCUCAACCGAAGAAGUGCAUUGGAAACUGGGAGACUUGAGUGCAGAAAAGGACAGUGGAACUCCAUGUGUAGCGGUG